rnacentral:misc_RNA from 1 species
CAGGACGUCAUACUCCCGUAAUACCACUGUGAAUCUUACCUACCGUCGUUGCCUCGGCGGACGCCUCCCGGGCGGCAUGGGGUCUUCGGAUCCCCGGCCGCCCGCUGCGGGAGGGUCCACGUCCGCCGGCGGCCCGCAUACUCUGUCUCAGCGUGUUGGCAUCUCCGAGUAUUAUACAAACGAGUCA